rnacentral:lncRNA from 1 species
GAACCCCAAUGAAUCAUUCACCAUUGGAAAAUUCUCUGAUUUGAAAAUAAAUGCCAAGCAGUCUUAUAGUGACACUGUUAGAUCUUCUGGGGAUGGUGUUCAGGCGCUUGUUCAAAAUAAUCAAGAGAAAAGAAAAUAUCCCUACAGUCCAAGUACAAAUCAAGUAAUAGACACAAAUGCCACAAAAGAAAAACUGGCGAGGGAUAUUAAAUCACUAGUAGAAAUAAAAAAGAAGUUUACAGAACUUGCAAGAAAAAUUAAAAUUAAUAAAAGUCUUUUGAUGGCAGCUGGUUGUAGUAAAACAGCCAAUACUUCUUAUACUGAACCAAUUCAGCAUUCUGAAUUUUCAGCAAAAGAAAUGUCUGCUAAAAAUGGCAACGACUGCUCCAUGGAAUUGCUAGCAACAUGCCUUUCUCUUUGGAAAAACCAACCUCCAAAAACCACAGAAGAAAAUGUCCCAAAACCUUUAGAAGAAAAACAGUGUAACACCUCACGAAUCAGUACAACGGUAGUUGGCAGUUCACAUCCCACAAACGAAGUUCACGUUAAGAGUUUUUGUUCUGGUGUUGGGAAUUCUCAGAAACUGCUGAGCUCAUCACAAACAAUAUUGUCAGUUCUCACUCCGAGUGGUGAGUCUUCAGGUGUAGCUGUUGGAAAAGGAACAGAGCUUCAGAUUGCUGUGGUGUCACCUUUAGUUCUUGCAGAUACUAAUCCCUUACCUGGAAAAGAGUUAGCGCCUGAAGUUUUACCAGAACCGCCGUAUCCAGUUGUUAAGGAAGGUAGUAUUUGUAGCUUACAACACCAACAGGCAGAAACUGCUGCUUUACCUUUUCACAUUACAGGAGUAGUAGCAGAUAGUAACCUGUCAGUGGAG